GAAGACAAGUGCCUACGCUGCGGAGGUGAUGGCCAGACCUGCUACCCAGUCAAAGGCACUUUCGAUGCCAAUGACCUCACCAAAGGUUACAACCAAAUUUUGAUCAUUCCCGCAGGAGCUACCAGCAUCCAUAUUGCAGAAGUUACAGCCAGCAGGAAUUUCCUGGCAGUGAAGAAUGUUCGGGGGGAGUAUUACCUGAAUGGCCACUGGACUAUUGAGUUUGGCCGGGCCUUGCCAGUGGCCAGCACUAUCCUUCAGUAUGAACGAGGCUCUGAGGGGGACCUGGCCCCUGAACACCUUCAUGCCCGGGGACCUACCUCUGAGCCCCUGGUCAUCGAGGUGAGUGGAGCCUGUCUCUGUUCUCUACUUCCUCCCAUUGAAACAAGGAUAAUACUGGCCAUCAAGGCAGCUAAAGCAGGUACGGUGAGGCCCCGAGAGCUUGGUCAGACAUAGAAGAUGCUAAGUUCAUUCACUGAAUUCUGGGCCAUCGCCAGUUGACCUGACUUUUGUCUUGUCUCUGGACUU